rnacentral:rRNA from 1 species
UACGUAGGCAGCGAGCGUUGUUCGGAGUUACUGGGCGUAAAGGGUGUGUAGGCGGUUGUUUAAGUUUGGUGUGAAAUCUCCCGGCUCAACUGGGAGGGUGCGCCGAAUACUGAAUGACUUGGAGUGCGGGAGAGGAAAGUGGAAUUCCUGGUGUAGCGGUGAAAUGCGUAGAUAUCGUCCAGAACACCGAUAGCGAAGGCAGCUUACUAAGGAGUAACUGACGCUGAGGCACGAAAGUGUGGGGAUCAAACAGG